GAACGCUAGCGGCAGGCUUAACACAUGCAAGUCGAGGGGUAACAGAGGAGCUUGCUCUUGCUGACGACCGGCGCACGGGUGCGUAACGCGUAUACAAUCUGCCUUGCACUAAGGGAUAGCCCAGAGAAAUUUGGAUUAAUAUCUUAUGGUUUAUAAUUAUGGCAUCAUAUUUAUAAUAAAGGUUACGGUGUAAGAUGAGUAUGCGUCCCAUUAGUUUGUUGGUAAGGUAACGGCUUACCAAGACUACGAUGGGUAGGGGCCCUGAGAGGGGGAUCCCCCACACUGGUACUGAGACACGGACCAGACUCCUACGGGAGGCAGCAGUGAGGAAUAUUGGACAAUGGAGGAGACUCUGAUCCAGCCAUGCCGCGUGCAGGAAGACGGUCCUAUGGAUUGUAAACUGCUUUUAUACAGGAAGAAUAAGGACUACGUGUAGUCUGGUGACGGUACUGUAAGAAUAAGGACCGGCUAACUCCGUGCCAGCAGCCGCGGUAAUAC
rnacentral:rRNA from 1 species